UCAGUUCCAGACAUAACAUCUGGCAGGGUGUAUUACGGCAGAUACGCUGCCAUCCCGACAGUCUAUCGGCGGGAUGACAGCGUGUCUGUUAGCCUGAAAGAUGACGCGUAUAACUAAAAAGGCCGCAUAGCGGCCUUUUUUCUUUUAAGUAUGGGAUAGCCACCGUAAAAUCACGCUACCUCUUUUCAGCUGAAUGGAUAAC
rnacentral:sRNA from 1 species